rnacentral:rRNA from 1 species
GAUGAACGCUGACAGAAUGCUUAACACAUGCAAGUCUUUGGCGAAGCUGUGCUUGCACAGCCUAGCCAAGGCGGACGGGUGAGUAACGCGUAAGGAACUUGCCCUGCAGUCAGGGAUAACAGACGGAAACGACUGAUAAGACCUGGUAAAGUCAGGCGGACUCAUGUCCAGCCUGAUGAAAAGAGAUGCUGCAGGAGAGCCUUGCGUCCUAUUAGCUUGUUGGUGGGGUAACGGCCCACCAAGGCGAUGAUAGGUAGCCGGCCUGAGAGGGUGGACGGCCACAAGGGGACUGAGAUACGGCCCUUACUCCUACGGGAGGCAGCAGUGGGGAAUAUUGGACGAUGGGGGCAACCCUGAUCCAGCAAUUCUGUGUGCACGAUGAAGGUUUUCGGAUUGUAAAGUGCUUUCAGCAGGGAAGAAAAAAAUGACGGUACCUGCAGAAGAAGCGACGGCUAAAUACGUG